rnacentral:snRNA from 1 species
GUGCUUGCUUUGGCAGCACAUAUACUAAAAUUGGAACGAUACAGAGAAGAUUAGCACGGCUCCUGCGCAAGGAUGACACGCAAAUUCGAGAAGACCAUAACAUCUCA